UUUCAGGGUCCUUGGAGGGAUUCUGAGUGGCCAAGAGCACUCGGAGGCUCAGUAUUUCACUUAUAGGGGCUGAAGUGAAGUUACGAGUCAGUGAGGAGUCUUCAUUCUCAGGAGCAGUCCAUGAAUGCUGAGUGUUGGAUGGAUCAAUGGAUGUGAUGAAGGACCUCCGAGAAGCUGAGGGGAAAGGAGGAAACAUGGACAAUUAUCGGCAGGAAAAGCCAGGACCAUGAAGCAACUUUCCCUUUCCCAGCUUGAUUUCUCCUCUGCCAAGAAGAUGGUUCCAUCACAGUGGGCUGGUCCUUUCUACUUCA